AGCGAACGCUGGCGGCAGGCCUAACACAUGCAAGUCGAACGAACUCUUCGGAGUUAGUGGCGGACGUGUGAGUAACACGUGGGAACGUGCCUUUUGGUUCGGAAUAACUCAGGGAAACUUGUGCUAAUACCGCAUGUGCCCUUCGGGGGUAAGAUUUAUCGCCAUUAGAGCGGCCCGCGUCUGAUUAGCUAGUUGGUGAGGUAACGGCUCACCAAGGCGACGAUCAGUAGCUGGUCUGAGAGGAUGACCAGCCACACUGGGACUGAGACACGGCCCAGACUCCUACGGGAAGCAGCAGUGGGGAAUCUUGCGCAAUGGGCGAAAGCCUGACGCAGCCAUGCCGCGUGAAUGAUGAAGGUCUUAGGAUUGUAAAAUUCUUUCACCGGGGACGAUAAUGACGGUACCCGGAGAAGAAGCCCCGGCUAACUUCGUG
rnacentral:rRNA from 1 species